GCGACGACGGGUAGCCGGCCUGAGAGGGUGACCGGCCACACUGGGACUGAGACACGGCCCAGACUCCUACGGGAGGCAGCAGUGGGGAAUAUUGCACAAUGGGCGAAAGCCUGAUGCAGCGACGCCGCGUGAGGGAUGACGGCCUUCGGGUUGUAAACCUCUUUCAGCAGGGACGAAGCGCAAGUGACGGUACCUGCAGAAGAAGCACCGGCUAACUACGUGCCAGCAGCCGCGGUAAUACGUAGGGUGCGAGCGUUGUCCGGAAUUAUUGGGCGUAAAGAGCUCGUAGGCGGUUUGUCGCGUCGGCCGUGAAAACUUGGGGCUUAACUCCAAGCUUGCGGUCGAUACGGGCAGACUUGAGUUCGGCAGGGGAGACUGGAAUUCCUGGUGUAGCGGUGAAAUGCGCAGAUAUCAGGAGGAACACCGGUGGCGAAGGCGGGUCUCUGGGCCGAUACUGACGCUGAGGAGCGAAAGCGUGGGGAGCGAACAGGAUUAGAUACCCUGGUAGUCCACGCCGUAAACGGUGGGUGCUAGGUGUGGGGGGCUUCCACGCCCUCUGUGCCGCAGCUAACGCAUUAAGCACCCCGCUGGGGG
rnacentral:rRNA from 1 species